rnacentral:misc_RNA from 1 species
AGAUCCAAGAGAAGAACAUGACAAGCUGCAACCAUGUUAAGCCCAAGGCUUGCAGCUUUCAGAGACAUGAUUAUGACCGACACCUCAGGAAGUGUGUUAAAAUCUUUGACAGCCUUGUCUCUAGCAAGAACAGACAUUGUUCCAUCAAGUCUACGGUACUGAAUUGAGGAAUUUUUUAGACAAGCUUCAAGUAAAUCUAACAUCCCCGUCCACUGAGAAAAGACAAUUGCCUUCUCUCCAGCUAUUGUGGUUGUGUCUUUGGAACUUGUAUGCGCACUGGAUUCUCCAGCAUGAUUAUCACAUGUAUUUUCUGAAGGAGAAGCUCCUUCAUCGUCUGAUCCUGAAAGGCGACCACUAAGAGUGCAAGACUUAGCUUUAGGCAGAGACUGCAGCACCUGAAGAGCAGCUUUAAUCUUUGAUGAAUCAUAUGGACUACGAUUUAAACUUUCAGCCACAUCAGAGCCAGCACAGUCAGGGUUAUUUUGCAGCCUGGGUUGACCAGAUAGAAAAUCGCUUAACAUUGCUUUAGUGAAAACUGAAG